rnacentral:rRNA from 1 species
UACGUAGGGGGCAAGCGUUGUCCGGAAUCAUUGGGCGUAAAGCGUGCGCAGGCGGUUCGUUGUGUCGGUGGUGAAAGCCCCGGGCUUAACCUGGGAAUGGCCAUGGAAACUGGCGAACUGGAGUGUGGCAGAGGGGGGUGGAAUUCCGCGUGUAGCAGUGAAAUGCGUAGAGAUGCGGAGGAACACCGAUGGCGAAGGCAGCCCCCUGGGCUAGCACUGACGCUCAGGCACGAAAGCGUGGGGAGCAAACAGG